CCUUUGCCCCAGCCAGGGCAGUUCCCGCUCUUGUCACUGCUCAGGAACAUCGGAGGUAUCCCAGGCUCUGAAGCCAGCUGAAGCAACUUGAUGACCCUUCAAGAACUGGAUUUAUUAGGCUUUCCUGUGACAAUGAACCAAGAAAGCCUGGAGACCUGGUGAUGAUAUCCUUAUAUGAUACUUAAAGAUCUGAAACAUAAACAUCUAAAAUUAAACAGUAUACUGUCUUCUUUUCCCUUCAAUAAC